rnacentral:rRNA from 1 species
GAUGAACGCUAGCGGCAGGCCUAACACAUGCAAGUCGAGGGAGAAGCCCUUCGGGGCAGAAACCGGCGCACGGGUGCGUAACGCGUAUGCAACCUACCUUUCACAGGGGGAUAGCCCGAAGAAAUUUGGAUUAAUACCCCAUAAUAUUAUUGGAUGGCAUCAUUUGAUAAUUAAAAUUACGAUGGUGAAAGAUGGGCAUGCGUCCUAUUAGCUAGUUGGAGUGGUAACGGCACCCCAAGGCUACGAUAGGUAGGGGUCCUGAGAGGGAGAUCCCCCACACUGGUACUGAGACAGGGACCAGACUCCUACGGGAGGCAGCAGUGAGGAAUAUUGGUCAAUGGUCGGAAGACUGAACCAGCCAUGCCGCGUGCAGGAAGAAUGCCUUAUGGGUUGUAAACUGCUUUUAUAUGGGAAGAAUAAGGAGUACGUGUACUUGAUGACGGUACCAUAUGAUAAGCU